UGUAGUCCACGCCGUAAACGAUGAGUGCUAAAGUGUUGGAGGGUUUUCCGCCCUUUCAGUGCUGCAGCUAACGCAUUAAGCACUCCGCCUGGGGAGUACGACCGCAAGGUUGAAACUCAAAGGAAUUGACGGGGGCCCGCACAAGCGGUGGAGCAUGUGGUUUAAUUCGAAGCAACGCGAAGAACCUUACCAGGUCUUGACAUCCUUUGACCACUCUAGAGAUAGAGCUUCCCCUUUCGGGGGCAAAGUGACAGGUGGUGCAUGGUUGUCGUCAGCUCGUGUCGUGAGAUGUUGGGUUAAGUCCCGCAACGAGCGCAACCCUUAUUGUUAGUUGCCAUCAUUCAGUUGGGCACUCUAGCAAGACUGCCGGUGACAAACCGGAGGAAGGUGGGGAUGACGUCAAAUCAUCAUGCCCCUUAUGACCUGGGCUACACACGUGCUACAAUGGGAAGUACAACGAGUUGCGAAGUCGCGAGGCUAAGCUAAUCUCUUAAAGCUUCUCUCAGUUCGGAUUGCAGGCUGCAACUCGCCUGCAUGAAGCCGGAAUCGCUAGAAUCG
rnacentral:rRNA from 1 species